rnacentral:rRNA from 1 species
GACAGAGGGUGCAAACGUUGUUCGGAAUUACUGGGCGUAAAGCGCGUGUAGGCGGCUAUGCAAGUCGGAUGUGAAAGCCCACGGCUCAACCGUGGAAGUGCAUCCGAAACUGCAUGGCUGGAGUCUCGGAGAGGAAGGUGGAAUGCUUGGUGUAGAGGUGAAAUUCGUAGAUAUCAAGCAGAACACCUGCGGCGAAGGCGGCCUUCUGGACGAUGACUGACGCUGAGACGCGAAAGCGUGGGGAGCAAACAGG